rnacentral:rRNA from 1 species
UGGAUCCAGACUUUGAUCAUGGCUCAGGAUGAACGCUAGCUACAGGCUUAACACAUGCAAGUCGAGGGGAAACGAUAGAGAAAGCUUGCUUUUUCUAGGCGUCGACCGGCGCACGGGUGAGUAACGCGUAUCCAACCUGCCCAUCACUUGGGGAUAACCUUGCGAAAGUAAGACUAAUACCCAAUGAUAUCUCUAGAAGGCAUCUGAAGGAGAUUAAAGAUUUAUCGGUGAUGGAUGGGGAUGCGUCUGAUUAGCUUGUUGGCGGGGUAACGGCCCACCAAGGCGACGAUCAGUAGGGGUUCUGAGAGGAAGGUCCCCCACAUUGGAACUGAGACACGGUCCAAACUCCUACGGGAGGCAGCAGUGAGGAAUAUUGGUCAAUGGACGAGAGUCUGAACCAGCCAAGUAGCGUGCAGGAUGACGGCCCUAUGGGUUGUAAACUGCUUUUAUAAGGGAAUAAAGUGAGUCUCGUGAGACUUUUUGCAUGUACCUUAUGAAUAAGGACCGGCUAAUUCCGUGCCAGCAGCCGCGGUAAUACGGAAGGUCCGGGCGUUAUCCGGAUUUAUUGGGUUUAAAGGGAGCGUAGGCCGGAGAUUAAGCGUGUUGUGAAAUGUAGACGCUCAACGUCUGCACUGCAGCGCGAACUGGUUUCCUUGAGUACGCACAAAGUGGGCGGAAUUCGUGGUGUAGCGGUGAAAUGCUUAGAUAUCACGAAGAACUCCGAUUGCGAAGGCAGCUCACUGGAGCGCAACUGACGCUGAAGCUCGAAGUGCGGGUAUCGAACAGGAUUAGAUACCCUGGUAGUCCGCACGGUAAACGAUGGAUGCCCGCUGUUGGUCUGAAUAGGUCAGCGGCC